ACUUUGAAAGCUUGCCCAGGCAUCCGCUCUCGCUUGCUAUUGUUUGGCGUUAUAACCAUAAUUUAACUUUACAACAAGAUACACAGUUCAGUUUUCGUCUUUUGGCUUUGUGGAAUUCGAGACGCUAAACAUAUUCGCCAGCCAGCGUCUGAACGCGGCCUUCGUAGAAACAUUUGAAUACUUUGAGAGGACACUUAUGGAAUAGGAAGAGGAGCGCCAUAAUUGGAAGCUGCUAGAUGUUUUUGUAAGAGCUUAAAUAAAACGGCCAUACACAGGUGUCUUGACGCCAGUGUCUCAGGGGAGUCGACGGCAGAUAUGGACGGCACAAGCUCAGCUUUUCUCCGGAAAGUUUCACCUCCAGGAAUUUUAAACAAGGAAUCACCGUGUGUUUGUGUGGCUAAAGGGUAAAGCUUCCCAACUCCAUCUUUCUACUGUGACUUCUCCAAUAUUAACUGAAUAAAUUGCAAAAGAUUCAGCAACACAGAUGUCCAAAAAACUGUAUAAUUAUGCCGUUAAAGCAGACGACAUUUAGCUGUGUGUGUGCGCAGCGCUCAUACUUCCUAAAAACCUGUGACGUCUUGCGUACACGUCAUCAUUACACGACGUUUUGAAGAUGAAAUUCCAGGGAAAUUUAAAAUUGUAAUUUAGUAAACUAAGAAGCAUGUGUUGCAAUGUUAAUAUUUCAUCAUUGAUAUAUAAAGUAUCAGACUGUGUGGUGGGUAGUAGUGGGUUUCAAUAGGCCUUUAUUGGUCAAUUGUACAAAAUAUACUAAUAAAGGAAUCAAUCAAUCAAUCCUCCAACUUUAUUCUAAUGAGUUCCGGGCAGGGUGGUGCAUGGUCAUCCUUGCUCUGCUUGAGGGUUUUGAAACUCCCGCCUUUUCGCUUGGUAAAGACACACAUUGAUGACGUUUAUUCUCGGGCCAAUGAACACAGGCUUGUUAAAGGCCUACUGAAACUAGAUGUUUUUAUUUAAACGGGGAUAGCAAGUCAAUUCUCUGUGUCAUACUUGAUCAUUUUGCGAUAUUGCCAUAUUUUUGCUGAAAGGAUUUAGUAGAGAACAUCGACGAUAAAGUUUGCAACUUUUGGUCGCUAAUAGAAAAGCCCUGCCUUUACCGGAAGUAUGUGCGUGUGACGUCACGAGUUGCAGGGCUCCACAGAUAUUCACAUUGUAUUUAAUGGGAGCCACCAGCAGUAAGAGCAAUUCGGACCGAGAAAGCGUCAAUUUCACCAUUAAUUUGAGCGAGGAUGAAAGAUUCGUGAAUUAGGAUAUUGAUAGUGAAGGACUAGGGAAAAAAAAAAGCGGCGGCAGUGUGAGCGUUUCAGAUGUAAUUAGACACAUUUACUAGGAUAAUUCUGGAAGAUCCCUUCUCUGCUUAUUGUUUUAAUAGUGUUUUAGUGAGAUUUUAAAGAUUGUAAAGACAUACCUCAAGGUCGGAUGGCUGCGGUGAACACAAAGUGUCUCAGAGAGAAGCCGAGGAGCCAAGCUCACAGCUGCCUUUUAAACAGCUGCUGCAGGACGACGAAUAAUCCAAUGAUUUCUCCGGUAAGAUAUAUAUCACAAUUUCCCCAUCCAAAGACAUGCUGGUUGACGUAGAGAAAACAUGUUCACUGGACCGCUCUGUGUUAAAGCUUCACAACAAACAAAGAAACACCGGCUGUGUCUCGGUGCUAAAGACAGCUGCAAUACACCGCUUUCCACCAACAGCAUUGUUCUUUAUAGUCUUCGUUAUUAAAUGAACAAAUUGCAAAAGAUUCAGCAACACAGAUGUCCAAAAUACUGUGAAAUUACGCCAUGAACAGAGACGACUUUUAACCGUGUUUGGUGCAGAGCUAAUAUUUCCUGACAGUCCGUGACGUCACCCGUACACGUCAUCAUUCCGCGACAUUUUCAGCAAGAAACUUGCGGGAAAUUUUAAAUUGCAAUUUAGUAAACUAAAAAGGCCGUAUUGGCAUGUGUUGUAAUGUUAAUAUUUCAUCAUUGAUAUAUAAACUAUCAGACUGCGUGGUCGGUAGUAGUGGGUUUCAGUAGGCCUUUAAAACUAAAGCUAAAAAACAAUAUUCACAUUUUUUUUAAAUGAGACAAAUUGUUAUGUUAUAAGACUUUUUUAUUUUGUUUCGUCUGUAUUUUUGUAUUUUAUUUUCUUGAACAUAUUUUGUUCGUUAUGGAUUUUUUUUAUAUGUCUGUUACGUUUUUUAUUUAUAUACGCGCCACUUAAGAUGUCCUUCCCUUCCUCUCCAACCUCAAACAGUGGUACGGAGAGGACCCCACAUGCCCCCUUUGUCCAUCUCCAGCUAACCUCAAACACAUUCUGGUUGUCUGCAAGACAAGUCUGUCAUAAGGGCGCCACAUCUGGCGGCACAACCAGGUUCUGAAGUGUCUACAGCCACGUUAGAGGCCAGAAGAGUGAAGAUCAAUGCCUGUCCCCGCCAAAAGUACAUCAUACAGCCACAAGAGAGUUAAUCCGAGAAGGUGCAGAGUCCACCAAAGGCCAUAUACCAGACAUAGGCCAGCUCGGAAUGGCUCGUGACUGGAAAAUGGCGGUGGAUCUUGAUCAAAAGCUCUGCUUUCCUUCAGAAAUAGCCAGAUCAAACAUCAGACCAGACCUUGUGCUCUGGUCCUCCUCACUGCAUAUUGUGUAUAGAAUAGAACUCACGGUUCCCUGGGAGGCUGCGGUGGAAAAGGCAUUCGAACGCAAAAGCCUUAAGUACACCGAACUGGCAGCUGAUGCCAAGCAGAUUGGUUGGAAAGCCAAGGUCUGCCCAAUGGAAGUUGGCUGCAGAGGUUUUGUGGGCCGGACAACCAUCAUGCUGCUUAAGGACAUCGGAGUUCAAGGCCAAACCCUGCGAAACACCAUCAAAGCCCUCUCAGGAGCGGCAGAGACAGUCAGUCGGUGGCUAUGGGUGAAGAGGAGAGACACCAUCUGGAGCUCUAGUAAGACCUACAUCACAUAAUGGUUAGAGGCAGAGGGGGGCUCACCUGGGAUGCCAGGUGUUGCUGAUGAGCCCUCUGGAGGUGUCGUGGGCCUAUCAUUGAAACGCCGGUGAAGGAGGAUGCCCACCUGAUGACCCCAAUGAAGCUGACAACCAUUCCCCUUCCUCCUCUCUGUCCCCCAUCUUGCAAUCCCACCCAACCAAGUCCAACACCAUAACCGUUCUGAAGCAGCUCUGAAGGAGGUAGCCUAUUAUUUCCACUCUACUCAGGUUAUUUUGUAUCAUGGGAUUGUUCUAUCUAGGCCUAAAAUUUAACUAAUUGUGGCACAGGGGUUAGUGCAUGUGCCUCACAAUACGAAGGUCCUGGGUUCGAUCUUUCUGUGUGGAGUUUGCAUGUUCUCUCUAUGACUGCAUGGGUUCCCUCCGGGUACUCUGGCUUCCUCAAACCUCCAAAGACAUGCACCUUGGGAUAGGUUGAUUGGCAACACUAAAUAGUCCUUUAGUGUGUGAAUGUGAGUGUGACUGUUGUCUGUCUAUCUGUGUUGGCCCUGCGAUGAGGUGGCGACUUGUCCAGGGUGUACGCCGCCUUCCG